GGGAUCGCAAGACCUCGCGCGAUUGGAGCGGCCGAUAUCAGAUUAGGUAGUUGGUGGGGUAAAGGCUCACCAAGCCAACGAUCUGUAGCUGGUCUGAGAGGACGACCAGCCACACUGGGACUGAGACACGGCCCAGACUCCUACGGGAGGCAGCAGUGGGGAAUUUUGGACAAUGGGCGCAAGCCUGAUCCAGCCAUGCCGCGUGCGGGAAGAAGGCCUUCGGGUUGUAAACCGCUUUUGUCAGGGAAGAAAAGGUUCUGGCUAAUACCUGGGACUCAUGACGGUACCUGAAGAAUAAGCACCGGCUAACUACGUGCCAGCAGCCGCGGUAAUACGUAGGGUGCAAGCGUUAAUCGGAAUUACUGGGCGUAAAGCGUGCGCAGGCGGUUAUGCAAGACAGAGGUGAAAUCCCCGGGCUCAACCUGGGAACUGCCUUUGUGACUGCAUAGCUAGAGUGCGGCAGAGGGGGAUGGAAUUCCGCGUGUAGCAGUGAAUGCGUAGAUAUGCGGAGGACACCGAUGG
rnacentral:rRNA from 1 species